rnacentral:rRNA from 1 species
GCGCAGCAGGCGCGAAAACUCCGCAAUGCGCGAAAGCGUGACGGGGCUACCCCGAGUGCCGUCCGCUGAGGAUGGCUUUUCUCCGGUGUAAGGAGCCGGAAGAAUAAGGGGAGGGCAAGUCUGGUGUCAGCCGCCGCGGUAAUACCAGCUCCCCGAGUGGUGGGGACGAUUAUUGAGCCUAAAGCGUCCGUAGCCGGCUCGGUAAGUCUCCCGUUAAAUCCGGCGAUCUAAUCGUUGGACUGCAGGAGAUACUGUCGGGCUAGGGGACGGGGGAAGCCGACGGUACUCCCGGGGUAGGGGUGAAAUCCUAUAAUCCUGGGAGGACCACCAGUGGCGAAGGCGGUCGGCUAGAACGCGCCCGACGGUGAGGGACGAAAGCUGGGGGAGCGAACCGGAUUAGAUACCCGGGUAGUCC